rfam:Asian citrus Psyllid, Diaphorina citri - Florida Strain, whole genome shotgun sequence.
GCUAGUGGCGAUAGAACAUCGAAUGUACCAGCUCCCACUGAAUCACUAAAGUUAAGCAACGUUGCGCGUGGUUGGUAUUCGGAUGGGCGACCUUGGGGGGAAUCUCGUGCUUCUGGAU